UUUAAAGAAAAAGAAAUAUUCAAAUGUUGUGAUGUAAACAAAAACAACAAGAAAAGUAAAAUAUUAAAAAUCGUGAUUUUUUAGUUAAAAGAGAAGAUGUUUCGAAAUCUGAAGCAAAGAAAUUGGUAUAUAAUAAUAGUCUUUUUAAAAAGCAUGUGUAAAAAAUGUAUAUAUAUAGAAAAUAAAUAGUAUGGUAGUUUAUAAAUGGUCGGGAACCCACAAACAAAUAAUCAGUACGUCGGUCGUAAGUGUUUAAUUCGUGAAAAAAAGGAAAAAGGUAAUGCCAAAACAUGGCACAUAUUAUUGAUAUUUUCGAAAAUAAUUUAAAUAUAAUUUUUAUCAGUCAAUGAAAGAAGCGUUUAAAGUCAUCGAUAUUUUUUGUUCUAAUCAACGUUGAAACUGUCUCAUUGUUUAAUCUUUGAUUAGUUUGUUGCAGUUUAGUAAAAACAAAUGCAAUUAUAGUCAAGAAAACAUAUUUUCCGAAAGUAAUUUUGAAAUUGUGAUGAACAAAGUAAAGCCAGAAAAAAGACCCACGUAUCAUCGAUAUUUGCAGAAUUAUAUUUUGAAAUUGUCUUCUUUCAGAGUAAUAAUAGAAGUGAUAAUACUGUAAUGAAUUGCUGAGGAUCACCGUACAUCGACAUGGACACUGCAGAGCCUUUGCAAUCUAUUUCAUUGUUGAAUCUAUUGAUGUGCAUUGAUCAUCGGAUAAGAGUAAGUAAGUAAAUAAGUAAUUUUAUUGAAAUAAAGUCCAAAUAUUGAACUAUCAUCACUGAAUUACAAAAUGAACAUAAAAGGCAAGUGAUUACAAAAUGGAAAGAAAAAAAAAUAGUCAAGUAAUUAUUUUUCUUCAGUGGAUUUUCCUUUUCUAACAAGGUAGAUAAUAUGCCUGCGCAAGAAAGUUGGUGUUUACGUAUCACAAGUGGUUCUAAACUUAGAUUUUGAUCUACAUUUAUUUACUUUUAAGUCAUUAUCUACGAAACCAUACUAAAUAUCCCGGUAUAAACGGAAAGUUUACAGUCGCUUUCACAAAUAACUUGAUAGUAUAUGCCAAUGUCAGCAUUAUUCAUAAGAACGAAACACACUAUAUCUAAAUCUGUUCUUAUUCUCUUAUCGAACUUCUUUAAUAUGUAAGAAAAGAGUUACCUGCCCUUGGUAAAGGCGGUUUGAAGUUUUUGUGUCCGUGUAAACAAGCAUUUCAUUGAAGAUGAGCGAAUAUAUUAGACACAAUUCAUACAGAUAUUAGUGUAAACACAACCCACAAUGAUUUUGAGUAAGCUAGGCAUUACAAAUCCUGAGAUAUUAGAUGUAGAAGACCCAUUAGAUCGAGAUUUUGACUCAGAUUACGUGCAAAACAUAAUGGCGCUCAACCCUCUUUUUCCGGUUGAAAAUAUUGAAAACAUUAAUCAAAAUAAAAAGCAUUUAAAGCCUGAGGACGACAGCAAUGAUACAUUACAACAAUAUGAAACAGACCCCAGUGUUUUCAUAGAAUAACUUUAGUUGGGUACCGUAUCGAACCAAAAGUCGGGAAAUCCAAUACAAAUUCUUUUGUGAGUAUCCGGCAAAACCAAAGUAUAAAACAGAACAGAGCACUCCUAAUAGACAAUCCCUUCACAGUUUUGUUUAAAAGAUAUAACGUGAGGGUACCCAAAUUGCAUCUUUUUUGACAGUCUUUUUUUACCUUCGUUUAUUUGAGAAAAAGACACAAGUUUCUGUUCUAUUUUUUAGAUGUAUAUAUAAAUAAGAAGAUAUGGCAUGAGUGCCAAUGAGACAACUCUCCAUCCAAGUCACAAUGUGUAAAAAGUAAACAAUUAUAGGUUAAAGUACGGCCUUUAACACGGAGCCGUGUAUGCUUAUUUAGCCUAUAUUUCGCCAAAUUUGAAUUUGAAUCCGCACUGUUUCAUGGAUAAAAUGGGUUUGAGCCGACUUCCAAACAAUCCAAGAUACUGUAAUAAGGAGUACCUAAAUCACACGCAAGCUUAAAUCACAUACGUGAUUCUGUUAUGAGGAAAACCUAAAUCGCACACAAACUUAACUUCACAUUUGUAAUUCUGUAAUGAGGAAAACAUAAAUCGCGCACAAGCUUAACUUCACAUCCGUGAUUUUGUAAUGAGAUGUACCUAAAUCGCACACAAGCUUAACUUCACAUCCGUGAUUUUGUAAUGAGAUGUACCUAAAUCGCACACAAGCUUAACUUCACAUCCGUGAUUCUGUAAUGAGGAGUAAAAAUCGAUGUUUUGUUUUAUUUCUCCAUGUAUAGAACAAUUUGACAAUAGCCCAUGGUUAUAAGGAUUUUGUAGGAUAUUGAUGCUUAUGAUAUAUUUUUUAAUUUCUCAUUUUUAAAGUCGACUUUUAGUGGACGUCGCAUGGGCCUUUCCAUACAUUCUCCUUUUUUCAUUGGAGACGUCCUCUGAUGAUGUAUAAGGAACGUUUUUGUGCAUCAUUAAAAUACUUAUCUAUGUUUAAAGACAUGUAUAAUGACAAUUAAAGAAAUAGAUUUCUGUCGUUUUUUUGGGGGUUAUGAAAUGGUUCAAAUUGGAUACUCGGUUUAAUUUGGGUACUGUCGGUGGACAAUGUUUUCUCUUACAUGUUGAGAUGAUAUUUUUUUUUCAAUUUUCUUAUUUAACAAUUAUAGUGAAUGUCCUAAACCAGCUACACAAGGAAAUUAUAUUUCAGUAUCCUUGUAUAUUACGUCACCUUUAACCAAUACAGUACAUAUGUUUUUCGGUAAAUGGAACAACCCUAUGAUUGCGGUCAUAUUUACAUUGAGUUCCAGGAAAAACGAGGUCACCGGAUAUGACAUGGCGGCCACGUUGGUUGAUCAACUUGAACGAAAAUCACUACAUUUAUAGUUGACAUCCUAAAGAUGAAGCAGACACACUUUGGUUUCAAUCCAUAUACAGCGUUUCAAAGUUUUUUUAAAGAAAGUUUUACGGACGAUGGACGACGGACAUAAAGUGAUUGCAAAAGCUAAUAUGGCCCAUCCGAC